CCUACGGGUGACAGCAGUGGGGGAUAUUGCACAAUGGGGGAAACCCUGAUGCAGCGACGCCGCGUGGGCGAAGCAGUAUUUCGGUAUGUAAAGCCCUAUCAGCAGGGAAGAAGAAAUGACGGUACCUGAGUAAGAAGCACCGGCUAAAUACGUGCCAGCAGCCGCGGUAAGACGUAUGGUGCAAGCGUUAUCCGGAUUUACUGGGUGUAAAGGGAGCGCAGGCGGCACGGCAAGCCCAAUGUGAAAGCCCGCGGACCGAGCGCGGUACUGCAUUGGGAACUACCGGGCUGUAGUGCCGGAGAGUGAGGCGGAAUUCCGAGUGGAGCGGUGACACGCGUAUAUAUGAGGAGGACCACACGU
rnacentral:rRNA from 1 species